CGAGGUGUUUCAAGCGACACAAGUUGAGGGUUGUGCAACUGUGGACCAAGGACGUGUGGGGUAUGUUUCCUCUCUUUUUUGUUCCGCUUUGAAAGGGUUGAAGAAGAGACUAAUCAGAGUGUUAUAAAGUUCACAUCCAUGACGAAUAGAAAUCACUGUAACAAGAAUCAUUAUAUGUACUUUUUUUUAAACUAAUCAUAUGGACCAGCAUUCAAAAUCACUCAUAUGGAAAUCAAUUAUAUGAACAAUAAAUCAAGUAGACUCAAUAACUGUGUGGCAUAACUAUCAACGGAGGAGCUAUCACACUAGAUCUAUCUCAAAUAAUCAUUUACUACUUUCAUACAUAAGGACAGCUGAGCCCAGUGCACUAAGCUCCCGCUAUGUGCGAGAUCUGGGGAAAGGCCGGACCACAUUGCAUAGGUAUUUAUAGGUUUUCUUCUAGCAUGUACCUAGUCUAUUACAUGCACAUAAUUCAAUUCCGGAUUUUCUUUCAUCUUCUCUAGUUCAUGAACAAACUAAAACAAUAUAUCUAUCAUAACUAAUUUUCUAUAUAUACAUAUCAAAAAUUAAAAAUAAAAUUAUCUUUCCAACACAAAGUUCACUCCUAUACAUACUUAGAAAAUGUCAUUCCAUAGUAAUAAAUUUUUUAGUUAUUGGAUCCUUGUCAUAAUUAACCAUCAUUUGUUAUUUUUAACAGGUUAACCAACAAGCUUGAUCAACCUUAGCAGCCUACCUUGCCAGUGAUCAUCGCAAUGAUAGUGGCCUGGUAACAUGCUACAAGCUGUGUCGGAUAAAUCGUCGUGUAUAAAUCAAGCUUUUUUCAGAAGAGGUGAUUCUCAACAGUGAGCUGGUGAUUUCUUGAGGAAAAAAGGUUGAACCAGCAGAGGAGCUGUGAGUACCUAUCUCUUACAGGAUAGUUAUUUAAAAAACCUGGAUAUUUGUACUCAGGUUUAAUAUUUAGUUUUCCUCCUUUACAAAAAGUAGGAGGGAAUUUAUCAAGACUAUGAUAUAUGUAAAUCUGAUUAGAUUAGUUCAAAUUGGCCUUAGCAGCUUUUGUAUUGUUCCUGAUAGUAUCAUACAUAGAGCCAGAUUUUCGUUGGCUUUCAUAUAUGUUGUUUUGCCUAGAACAGAGUUUAUUUCUUGACUGCUAAUACUAAAAAAGCGAAACUUUUGCUGAGAUGCAAGUUGUACCCAAGGAGGUUUUGAAACCUCCUUGGAAUGGAAGGUAAGGUUAAGUACAAUAGUCGGUUGUGGUCCUGUCCUUCCCCGGACUUGUGCAUAGAUCGAGCUUAGUGGACUGUGAUGCCUUUUUUAAUCUAGAAUAUAAGUUCUAGUAUUGAAAGUUAAUUGUAUUGGUUCACUAACCUUGUCAAUUAUAUUAGAGGACCAGGAGAAGCAAUUCACAGGGCUUCGUUCUUCUUCAUUCUGAAUCCUGACUCUGGAUUAUCCCAUCCCGCUCUUCCUUUUUUUGAUGCAUAAUUUGCAGGUAGUUCCGUAUCUAUCAAUUCAAUCAAAUAGUCCGAGCAAUUGUCGCCGUUUAUAGAUAUUGAAAUGAACACCUUUCCAUUCUUCCUCCGUUAUUCCUCAUUCUAGAUCCUGAUUCCGGAUUCUCCCAUCCCGUUGUUCCUUUUUGAGAUGCAUGGAAGCAAGCAAUUUGUAGGGGAGAGUCUCUGUAUUUAUCAAUUUGAUCAAAUAAACUGAGCAAUUGUCACUCACCGUCUAUAGAUAUUGAAAUGAACACAUUCCCGUUCUCCUCCGUUCUUCCUCAUUUUAGAUCCUGACUCUCAAUUCUCCCUGAUGCUUAGUUAGCAAGCAAAUUGCAGAGAACAGUUUCAUAUCUAUCAAUUCGAUCAAAUACUCUGAGAAAUUUUCACCGUUUAAAGAUAUUGAAACGAACACCGUCCCAUUCUCCCUCCGUUCUUCCUCAUUCUAGAUCCUGACUCUGGAUUCUCCUCUCCGUUCUUCCUUUUUGAGAUGCAUAGUAGCAAGCAAUUUGCAAGGAAGAGUUUCGUAUAUAUCAAUUCGAUCAAUACCGUUUAUAGAUAUUGAAAUAAAUGCCUUCCCAUUCUUUCUCCGUUCUUCCUCAUCUAACUCUGAAUCCUGGAUAGCAAUUUGCUUGGCUUACACUCCCCUUCGUUUCAACUUCAAACAUCGCAAAUUUUCAGGUUUCAACUUCAUAAUCUACGCCCUUAAAACAUAAUACAAGGACAAAAAAGUGAGAGAUCUGCCUAACCCGUGACACUCUGCUCCAUUGCUUCUGUGUUAUUCAGAGCAACAUUAUCCUCUUUCUGGUGUUGCCUUUAACUAGACAAUAACAGGAACCCCAAACGUCUGUUGAGUUUUUUUUUUUUUCACUUUGAGAAAAAGUUACUGUAUUUCCA
rnacentral:lncRNA from 1 species